UGAGUAAUGUCUGGGAAACUGCCUGAUGGAGGGGGAUAACUACUGGAAACGGUAGCUAAUACCGCAUAACGUCGCAAGACCAAAGUGGGGGACCUUCGGGCCUCAUGCCAUCAGAUGUGCCCAGAUGGGAUUAGCUAGUAGGUGAGGUAAUGGCUCACCUAGGCGACGAUCCCUAGCUGGUCUGAGAGGAUGACCAGCCACACUGGAACUGAGACACGGUCCAGACUCCUACGGGAGGCAGCAGUGGGGAAUAUUGCACAAUGGGCGCAAGCCUGAUGCAGCCAUGCCGCGUGUAUGAAGAAGGCCUUCGGGUUGUAAAGUACUUUCAGCGAGGAGGAAGGCAUUAAGGUUAAUAACCUUAGUGAUUGACGUUACUCGCAGAAGAAGCACCGGCUAACUCCGUGCCAGCAGCCGCGGUAAUACGGAGGGUGCAAGCGUUAAUCGGAAUUACUGGGCGUAAAGCGCACGCAGGCGGUCUGUCAAGUCGGAUGUGAAAUCCCCGGG
rnacentral:rRNA from 1 species